UUUGCAAGCAAGGACCUUCCCCGCCUCGGGGAUCCAUCCCAAGGAAUCAGUGAGGCUCCAAGUGCAUGCUCUUGCCUUGCAGUCCCUCGGCUCAAGCCUCUAGGGUAACUGCUGGUCUCACACUCCUCUCGCCAGUAAAUACUCUCCUACCAGCCUGCACUUCCCGCUUGUGCUCCAGCAGGUCCGUCUGGCUCCUUGGCCCUCCUGAUCUGCAGGCUCCUGGAGCUGCAGGUUUGCUAUUGCGCUUUAGCUUUGGAGUAGCCAGGGGAGACAGAGCUUGUCCAGCAUCACACAGCUAUGGAGAGGGCACAGAGUCCUGCUGAGCAAAGUGCCUGGCUGUUUUUACCCCUUGCCCUGAGCUGUACAGCACUGAUCCUCCACCAGACAGACCCAGCUCCCAGCCGGCUUCCACCCUGGACCUUAAAUCCAGCUGCUGUGUGGGACACAAGUGGGUUGCUGUGCCAUCCCACGCCAUCCAGCUUCACCUGAGGGCUGUGCCGAGAUGUUGUGGGAGAAGAUCAGCGGGAAAUUGGCAGCAAAGUGUCAUUGCUGCCAGAGAAGAUGCUUGCUAAUGGGAUUGCUCCACCACUGAGCGGGACAAGGAUGGGUCAUUCUGCAGAAAGGCAUGUGACGUGAAGACGCGCUCUCCUCUGCUGUGUGCCUGGGCAUUUCUUGCCCGGGGUUGUGCUGGUCUGGGGGCCGACACGUGCUGAGCUGGGUCCCAGCCCUCAGCCUGGACCGUGCUCGUCUGGGGGCUGCUGCCCGAGUCUCUGCCCGGGGAAGGUGGUCUCGGGUGCGUGCGGAGCCGGGUCCCUUGCAGGAUCCAGCCCGGGGAGCAGGGAAGUGGAGCUGUGCAGAAACAUCGGACGCUCCUCUGGCCUUGCAGGUUUGGUGCAGCCAGCACCGGGACCCCUUCUGCUGCCUGCCGGAGGCUGCUGGGACGCCUCUCCCAGCCGCUCAGGUCUGCUGCCUGAGGAACAGAGACUGUCCCCGUGCAGGGCUCCCACCCCCCCUGCAGCUCCGCUCCCUUCGGGGGUGAAGGGGGUGACCCCAUCCGAGGCUGAACCCAGUCCCGAGCUCAGCAUCGACACCCCUUCCCAGCCCCGGAGCGGCAGAGCCGCCUGUGUGGUGCCGAGGUGGGGACGGAGCUCACUGCUUGCAAAUACACUCCCCUCAAAGUGCGCAUUUUGGGGAGCAGUGAAGCCCUGGGGUACAAGAAAUGCUUAGUGGUUUUUUUCAGACGCGCACACAAAACGCUGAGCCAAUCUCGCAGGAAAAUCCCCUUGCUGGGCAGGGAAACCCUCUGCAGGCAUGGAAAUGGAGAGUGUUUUCAGUUGGAAAACCGUGAAGGAGUGAGGGAGGCUGGCACAGGGGAGUCCUUUCCCAAAAGUUUGCAGCCAGCAGGUACCACCACCAGAAACUCGGGGUAAGAAAAGCAACAAUCCUGCGGGUGCAGGCAGAGCAUCGCCCUGGCUGUGCAGGGUGACCCCUUCCCAGAAGCAAAGCUGGAAAUCCACAAGAAAAAAAUCCACCGGAGGUUUUUAGUGGGGUAAGGGAGGGUCCCCAGGCUGCAGAUGAUGUCUCAGGUAGAGCCUGGCGUGCCGGGACCGACCGAGGACACUGACUCCUGUGCAGUCCCCCCCUGCUUUACACAGCAGAGCAAGUCCCGGGUCCCCGUUUAACCCUUUCUCUCAUCCGAUGCCGAGGGGCAGCCCCGACUGGUGCCUUACAGAUAUGGGGAUACGGGCUGGUAGAUGUAAACGGGAUUGGGGCUGGACACAUUUAUGGGGCGCUGGAUUAUAGUGUUAGGGAUCGCUUGGGAACUUUCCCGUAAAAACCCAGCCCUUUAAGGAACUGUGAAACUUAGCCCCAAAUAUCCUAUUUUUAUGGCUGAUUUUCUGUACAUUUUCUUCUUUCCUUUUUUUUCCCUUGAAUGUGUUUGGGUUUAGAAAUGCUCUAUUCUAACUUCACUCGGGGACUCAGUGCUGUGCUAAACUUUUUAUAGCCCAAACAAACAAAAAAAAUACCACUGCAUGCAUUGCUCCACUCGGGCAGUCAAUUUUCAUCUUGGCCUCAUUCAAAGAGAUCAGAAAACAGAUCAGGGGCUGGGAAGGCAGCCGCGCAGCGGCUCCGAAGCGAGGGAAGGGUGAUUCACGCAGCCUGAUCGUUCUGUGAGCUUUAAUCAUGCCGGCCAUACCCCCCAAUAUUUGUGUGUCCAUCCGUCUGUAUUUGUGCACAGCCACAAAGUGGUUAUAAAACCCAAGCUCCUUCCCCACGGGUCAGCUGGUGUAUUUUUGGUGUGUGCGGCUGCACAUGCACAGAUUGAUCAACAUGUCAGCGAUUUAUGGAUGUUGCAUCAUUAUUUCUAUACCUUUAGUUGCAAGCAAAAGCUUGGUUUAAAAUAGAAAAUUUAAUGCUCCCAGCUGAGCCCUCAUAUUAACCCUACAGUAACGUAUGACUCUUCCCCGUCCUGGUUUUCUUUGCCCUGAGCAGCCGGCCGAGCGUCAGGGUUUAUCCUGGUGUCUCUGGGAACGGCGGCGUGGCCAGGCUGGGAAGGCAGGAUCAGGCCCUGAGCCCGUGCACACACGUCUUGGAAGCCUUUGGUAACAGAGCUGUGUGUGCACAGAAUAAAGGAACGAGGAUUUGGCUUUAAUUGUUAAGGAUUAUUAAGGAUUUAUGCCUGAGAGGUGACAGAGACAACUUUGGGGUGCG